AGUCCAGUUUCUGUCUUCUGCCUGGUUCAACAACAAAAACUCCCAAAAAUGAAAUAAAGCUCCUUCAAGCUGGACUGGGAAGACGGACAAUUGGCAUAGCUGAUAAUGCUGAUCAUGAAUAGAUCACCAAAGCUCUUCAUGAUGAAUAUCCCAAAAUGAAGACCCUAACCGGAGGAUGGCUUUUGAAUAAAUCUGCAGGUGGUAAUGGACAGAGGAACUUGUCUGUUGUGGCUCAGGGAUCGCAGGGCUACACGUCUAAGAUGCUGAAGAUGGCCACCAGCAAUGGGAAGCACAUGCUUUACAUUGUUCCGCUCCAGGAAGAAAUUAAUACUACAC